rnacentral:rRNA from 1 species
UACGGAGGAUGCGAGCGUUAUCCGGAUUUAUUGGGUUUAAAGGGUGCGUAGGCGGGCUUUUAAGUCAGCGGUAAAAAUUCGGGGCUCAACCCCGUCCGGCCGUUGAAACUGGGGGCCUUGAGUGGGCGAGAAGAAGGCGGAAUGCGAGGUGUAGCGGUGAAAUGCAUAGAUAUCACGCAGAACCCCGAUUGCGAAGGCAGCCUUCCGGCGCCCUACUGACGCUGAGGCACGAAAGUGCGGGGAUCGAACAGG